rnacentral:lncRNA from 1 species
CAGAGCGUGUUCAUUUCACGGCUGGCGGAAGCAAGGCGGCACAGGGGUUAUAGGAGAGCAAAGAAAGUACCCUCACAGGCCCAGGUUGCUGAAAAUGAAGACAUAACAGAAGAGUUGGAUGCUGCUGUGGCAUUGUCAGAACUUUCAGUCCUUCAAGCAGCGGCCAGUCCAGCUGGUCCUUUCGACGAGGAAAGGAUGCUUGUUUUGUUGCGAGCCUCGCUAAGUGAACGGAAACUGAGUCCUCCACCAUGUUUGCCAUGCUACUUUCUGAAUGAAGACAUUAUCUCCAUCGAAGCAGAGCUUCGAUUUGAAGACAAAAUGUCAAGUAUGUUGGCACGGUUGCGCUUGGCAAAAGAAGUUGUGUCAAAAACCUGCGGCCGCGAAAUGGACUUUGUUGACAUUGAUGAUUACUUGAAGGGUAAUCAUGCCAAAUAUGCACUGAUAACACUGAGCCUCCAGCUGUGGUCAAAGUAAUGUAGCAAAAUUUUAUCAUUAUUUCUUCUUGCACGUUGUAUUUAAGUUUUCAGAUACGCUUU